ACGUACACUCCUGCGGGAGGCAGCAGUGGGGAAUAUUGGACAAUGGGCGCAAGCCUGAUCCAGCCAUGCCGCGUGAGUGAUGAAGGCCCUAGGGUUGUAAAGCUCUUUCACCGGUGAAGAUAAUGACGGUAACCGGAGAAGAAGCCCCGGCUAACUUCGUGCCAGCAGCCGCGGUAAUACGAAGGGGGCUAGCGUUGUUCGGAUUUACUGGGCGUAAAGCGCACGUAGGCGGACUAUUAAGUCAGGGGUGAAAUCCCGGGGCUCAACCCCGGAACUGCCUUUGAUACUGGUAGUCUUGAGUUCGAGAGAGGUGAGUGGAAUUCCGAGUGUAGAGGUGAAAUGCGUAGAUAUUCGGAGGAACACCAGUGGCGAAGGCGGCUCACUGGCUCGAUACUGACGCUGAGGUGCGAAAGCGUGGGGAGCAAACAGGAUUAGAAACCCCUGUAGUCCCA
rnacentral:rRNA from 1 species